ensembl:lncRNA
GUCAAUACUGAGGAAAGGAUGGUGCGGUUACGUAAAACAUAAACGAUUUAAAGAAAUAAAUAAAACACAGCGACAGUUAAAAAUAAUUUUUUAAAAAAAGUGUUCGGCAGUUGUGCUCAGGUACUGGUCUGAUCUACUCGAAGUCGUUUGGUUGUGUAUCCGGCUGGCAAUGCACAGGGAAAUACAUCUCGGAGAGGACAGAGAACCGAGUGGAUAAAACCCGAAAACCUGAAUUAAACCGUCUCUAAUCCGUGCGCGCGCGGAGGAAUUAAACAACCAGAUACUACACUGAUAGGAAAAGAGAAGACACGUCGAGUUGGUGUGAAAAUACAGUCCAAAUGGACCAGGUACCGCAGUUCGGCUUUGAGUCUCCGAGUCCGGCUGUUUGACUGCAUUGUUAAAGUGAAGUGUUAAUGGGAAAUUUCCCCGGAAAACAGUCAGCCAAAGCUGUUUAAAAAAAACACCCUCAAAAACAACAACGAAGCGCCUGGGUUAGAAGAAAACACUCGACGCUGCGCUGUUGUUGUUGUUGUUGUUCCUUCUAUGUCGAAACCUCCAGAACUCCAGCUAAAGUUCAACUUCCAUAUCUGAGUGUCAAGUUUAGUCACCGUGACAAAAGCUGAACUGAAAACUGCUACUUCAGCCUCAAGCCCUGUUCGGACGGCGUUGGUCUUUACAUCCUGAGUUGUGGUAAUUACAAACAUUUAGCCUGCCAAUGCUAACAAAAAUCUAUGGAAUGAAAUUUGUCCUGUAUUGAAUGUAGCUUUCCAGGAAACGAACAAAAAUGUACAACGAGACAAGAAAAACACCCUAAAACUGAAAAGUGGUGGCAAAAAAAUGUAAUGCUGUUUUCAAAUAAACAGGGGGCAUUGUUAAAAGCUUUGUUUUCGCUAGAGUCAUGGUUUAUGAAUACGUUGCCAGAGUUUUCGUUUAUGCUCAGCCAGUUAAACGUAGUUCACACUAGACGACUUUCAGCGUCGAGAACCGCUGUGCUGUUCACACUACACGACUUUCAGCGUCGGAAGAUCACUGUGCUGUUCACACUACACGACUUUCAGCAUCGAGAACCGCUGUGCUGUUCAUACUACAUGACUUGCUGUCUUGUAAUCGGCAGUCUUGAAGUCGUUGUGGUGUUCACACGACGUGAUUGCUCAGCGAAAGAGGGUCUCCCACUACACGAUCUGACAACGACUGUCACCCAACAAUGCUAUCUGGUGUCCAAACUGUGUUUUGUCACGAAAACACAUGCGAGAAGUGACAUGGAUAUAUGACGCGAAAACCACACGCAAAACAGGAGUUGUUUAUUUGAAGAUG